GGGCCCUAUAGGAGAGCACUGAUGGCCCACCCCUGAUUGUGGCCCUGGUCUUCAUGUCUGCAUCAGCCUCAGCCAUCUCAAGACCACAACAGGAACAUAGCCAAGUCAGAGAAGGAAGACCAAAAGCACCAGGGCCCUUCAUAUUAUUAAGCUGCUAAAUUAACUAAUCUUGGAAACUUCUAGACUCUACAAUUCUUGUUGUAUGAGAAAUCAUCUACUACAUAAAAUUCUGGUUUCAUACUUGGCCAUUCCUGCUUAACGGAGCUAACAAAGAAAUUUAAGAGUGGAUUGACAAUUAUUCUCUGGACUUUUUGGUAACCAAGAACUUCUAGCAACUAACCCUGGCAUGACCACCAGAAUCUGCAGGGCUGAGAGAAGAAAGAAAGGCAAAAGUGGAUGAAUGCAGCUGAAGAUGCUGUGGAACUCCUAUCACAUUCCAAGUGCUGUGUUGAUAUCUGGAGAUAUAGACAAGAUCGAAGCAGAUGCAGUCUUUCACAUGAAUAUUUGAAUCAGGCAGAUGCAGGUGAUGGGUAUUGGCCUCAGCUUUAGAGACCAGAGGUUAAAUCUCAGUGCUGCCUGCCACAAAACGAUCCAUGUAAGUCAAUAAACAAUGCUUUUUAAAA
ensembl:lncRNA LINC02612 long intergenic non-protein coding RNA 2612